rnacentral:rRNA from 1 species
AUGCACGCUGGCGGCGUGCCUCAUACAUGCAAGUCGAGCGAACGGACGAGAAGCUUUCUUCUCUGAUGUUAGCGGCGGACGGGUUAGUAACACGUGGAUAACCUACCUAUAAGACUGGGAUAACUUCGGGAAACCGGAGCUAAUACCGGAUGAUAUUUUGAACCGCAUGGUUCAAAAGUGAAAGACGGUCUUGCUGUCACUUAUAGAUGGAUCCGCGCUGCAUUAGCUAGUUGGUAAGGUAACGGCUUACCAAGGCAACGAUGCAUAGCCGACCUGAGAGGGUGAUCGGCCACACUGGAACUGAGACACGGUCCAGACUCCUACGGGAGGCAGCAGUAGGGAAUCUUCCGCAAUGGGCGAAAGCCUGACGGAGCAACGCCGCGUGAGUGAUGAAGGUCUUCGGAUCGUAAAACUCUGUUAUUAGGGAAGAACAUAUGUGUAAGUAACUGUGCACAUCUUGACGGUACCUAAUCAGAAAGCCACGGCUAACUACGUG